rnacentral:rRNA from 1 species
AUUGAACGCUGGCGGCAGGCCUAACACAUGCAAGUCGAGCGCGCGGCGGACGGGUGAGUAAUGUAUGGGGACUGCCCGAUAGAGGUGGAUAACUACUGGAAACGGUAGCUAAUACCGCAUACUAUCGGAUAACCCAUAUUGGAUUAGCUAGUUGGUGAGGUAAUGGUUCCCUUAGGCGACGAUCCCUAGCUGGUCUGAGAGUAUGAUCAGCCACACGGGGACGGAGACACGGCCCAGAUCCCUACGGAGGCAGCAGUGGGGAAUAUUGCACAAUGGGCGCAAGCCUGAUGCAGCAAUGACGCGGAUAUGAAGAAGGCCCUAGGGUUGUAAAGUACUUUCAGUCGGGAGGCGUUACCGACAGAAGAAGCACCGGCUAACUCCGUGCCAGCCGCCGCGGUAAUUC